UCCUGGACACGGGGUAAAAUUAAGCUGGUGGGCCGUACCAGGGUGGAUCAGCUUCCCCAGGCAUGAUUUAAAGGGCUUGCGGCUCCCAGCAGUGGCUGGAGCCCCCGGUCCUUUAAAUUGCUGCCAGAGCCCUGCUGCCGGAGCCCUGGGGUAGCGGUGGUGGGG